AGUGCAUGUGGUGGAUGCCUUGGCGAUCACAGGCGAUGAAGGACGUUGUAGCGUGCGAAAAGCUACGGGGAGCUCGCAAACAAGCUUUGAUCCGUAGAUGUCCGAAUGGGGAAACCCACUCCGCAAGGAGUAUCCCAGACUGAAUACAUAGGUCUGAGGAGGCGAACCGAGUGAACUGAAACAUCUAAGUAGCUCGAGGAACAGAAAUCAACCGAGAUUCCCUAAGUAGUGGCGAGCGAACGGGGAUGAGCCUGCAAGAUUUAACUACCGCGUUAGUGGAAUGAUCUGGAAAGGUCGGCCGUAGUGGGUGAUAGCCCCGUACGCGAAAACCUGGUAGCGGAACUGAGCUUGCGACAAGUAGGGCGGGGCACGUGAAACCCUGUCUGAACAUGGGGGGACCAUCCUCCAAGGCUAAAUACUCGUGAUCGACCGAUAGUGAACUAGUACCGUGAGGGAAAGGCGAAAAGAACCCCGGGAGGGGAGUGAAAUAGAUCCUGAAACCGCAUGCAUACAAACAGUGGGAGCCCGCAAGGGUGACUGCGUACCUUUUGUAUAAUGGGUCAGCGACUUACGUUCCGUAGCGAGCUUAACCGAAUAGGGGAGGCGUAGCGAAAGCGAGUCUGAUAAGGGCGUCAGAGUUGCGGGGCGUAGACCCGAAACCAGAUGAUCUAUCCAUGGCCAGGAUGAAGGUGGGGUAACACCCACUGGAGGUCCGAACCCACUAAUGUUGAAAAAUUAGGGGAUGAGCUGUGGAUAGGGGUGAAAGGCUAAACAAAUCUGGAGAUAGCUGGUUCUCCCCGAAAACUAUUUAGGUAGUGCCUCGUAUGGACACUUCCGGGGGUAGAGCACUGUAAUGGUUGAGGGGGUCGUUCAGAUCUACCUCGCCAUAGCAAACUCCGAAUACCGGAAAGUGAUGUACGGGAGACAGACGGUGGGUGCUAACGUUCAUCGUCGAAAGGGAAACAACCCAGACCGCCAGCUAAGGUCCCCAAGCCAUGGUUAAGUGGAAAACGAGGUGGGAAGGCACAGACAGUCAGGAGGUUGGCUUAGAAGCAGCCAUCCUUUAAAGAAAGCGUAAUAGCUCACUGAUCGAGUCGUCCUGCGCGGAAGAUGUAACGGGGCUCAAACUGUGCACCGAAGCUGUGGAUUUGCGUGUCUUUCGGGGCAUGCAGAUGGUAGGAGAGCGUUCCCUAGGCCUGUGAAGGUGCACCGAGAGGUGUGCUGGAGGUAUGGGAAGUGCGAAUGCUGACAUGAGUAGCGAUAAAGCGGGUGAAAGGCCCGCUCGCCGAAAGCCCAAGGUUUCCUGCGCAACGUUCAUCGGCGCAGGGUGAGUCGGCUCCUAAGGCGAGGCCGAAAGGCGUAGUCGAUGGGAAACAGGUCAAUAUUCCUGUACCGAUCACAGAUGCGAUGGGGGGACGGAGAAGGUUAGGUCAGCCGGGUGUUGGACGUCCCGGUUUAAGCGUGUAGGCGUGCCCGAUAGGCAAAUCCGUUGGGCUUAGCUGAGGCGUGAUGACGAGGGCUCUUGAGCCUGAAGUGACUAAUACCCUGCUUCCAGGAAAAGCCUCUAAGCUUCAGUCUGUGAUUGACCGUACCGCAAACCAACACAGGUGGGCAGGAUGAAAAUUCUAAGGCGCUUGAGAGAACCCAGGAGAAGGAACUCGGCAAAUUGAUACCGUAACUUCGGGAGAAGGUAUGCCUCGGUAAGGUGUAGCGGCUUGCCCGCGAAGCCUGAUGAGGCCGCAGAGAAACGGUGGCUGCGACUGUUUAAUAAAAACACAGCACUCUGCAAAGUCGAAAGACGACGUAUAGGGUGUGACGCCUGCCCGGUGCCGGAAGGUUAAGUGAUGGGGUGCAAGCUCUUGAUCGAAGCCCCGGUAAACGGCGGCCGUAACUAUAACGGUCCUAAGGUAGCGAAAUUCCUUGUCGGGUAAGUUCCGACCUGCACGAAUGGCGUAACGAUGGCCACACUGUCUCCUCCCGAGACUCAGCGAAGUUGAAAUGUUUGUGAUGAUGCAAUCUACCCGCGGCUAGACGGAAAGACCCCAUGAACCUUUACUGUAGCUUUGCAUUGGACUUUGACGGGGCUUGUGUAGGAUAGGUGGGAGCCGUUGAGACCGGGUCGCUAGACUCGGUGGAGGCAACCUUGAAAUACCACCCUGGUGUCGUUGAGGUUCUAACCUUGACCCGUGAAACCGGGUCGGGGACCGUGCAUGGUAGGCAGUUUGACUGGGGCGGUCUCCUCCUAAAGAGUAACGGAGGAGUACGAAGGUCUUCUAGGUACGGUCGGACAUCGUACUGAUAGUGCAAUGGCAAAAGAAGGCUUGACUGCGAGACUCACAAGUCGAGCAGGUGCGAAAGCAGGUCAUAGUGAUCCGGUGGUUCUGUAUGGAAGGGCCAUCGCUCAACGGAUAAAAGGUA
rnacentral:rRNA from 1 species